UUGAAGACUGUAUGAGAAGGUGAAAAAUAGCACUUGCUGGGAACUGAUCAAUAAUAUCAAAAUUCAUUGAUCUAAGAGAGAAGAUAAUGAUUUAAUUUUGUACAUGCUGAGUUUGAGGAUGCAGAUCCAAGCAAAACUCAAAACACAGUGUUCAACACAGAGUACUGGACUCUUGCUAAUUAAAGUGAGGUACACGGAAACGGAACAUCAACAUCAUCCUAGAACUUGUUAGAAAUGCAGAAUCUGGGGCUCCAUCCCAGACCUUCCAGGAAAAGCCUCUUUCCUCUUCUUCUGGGUUGGUGCUAGGCCUCCCAGAGGAGCAAAUCAUGACCGCUGGGGAGAAGAAGGCAACGCAGCUUCAAAGACCUGCCCCAAAUCCAUCAAAAACAGUAA